rnacentral:rRNA from 1 species
GUCUUAUUGAUAAUAAUAUUAAGUCUGGCCUGCCCACUGAUGAAUUAAAUGGCCGCAGUAUUUUAACUGUGCUAAGGUAGCAUAAUCAUUAGUUUUUUAAUUGAAAGCUUGAAUGAAGGGUUGGAUGAGAAAAUUACUGUCUUUAUUGAAAAUACAUUAAAAAUUUAUUUUUAAGUUAAAAAGCUUAAAUAUAGUUUAAAGACGAGAAGACCCUAUAGAGUUUUAUAUAAUUUAUAUUUAAUAUUUUUAGUAUUAAUAGUAUUAAUUUUAAUUUAUAUUUAAUUGGGGUGAUUUAAAAAUUUAAAAAACUUUUUAUUAAUUUUUACAUUUAUUUAUGGUUUAUUGAUCCAAUUUUAUUGAUUAAAAGAUCAAAUUACCUUAGGGAUAACAGCGUUAUUUUUUUUUAGAGUUCUUAUUAAAAAAAAAGAUUGCGACCUCGAUGUUGGAUUAAAAUUUAUAUUUGGUGUAGAAGCUAAAAAUUUUAGGUCUGUUCGACCUUUAAAAUUUUACA